rnacentral:lncRNA from 1 species
CAGAAAGUUGUGAUCUAAACAGAUGUCUUUUUUUUAUGGACCAAAGACACAUUCUCUUCUAUUUUUUCUUUUUAUUUAUUAUUUAUCUAUUUAUUUACUUAUUUUUAGAGACAGGGUCUCACUCUAUCUCCCAGUCUGGAGUGCAGUGGCACACUCAAGGCUUACAGCAGCCUUAACCUUCUAGGCUCCAGUGAUCCUCUUGCCUCAGCCUCCCAAGUGGUUGGGACUACAGGGGCAUGCCACCUUGCCUGGCUAAUUUUUUUUUUCCAUUUUUUUGUAGAAAUGAGGUCUUGCUGUAUUCCUCAGGCUGGUCUUGAACUCCUGGCCUCUAGCAGUCCUCCCACCUCAGCCUCCAAAGUGCUGGGAUUACAGGUGUGAGCCACCACACCCAGUUGGUCACAUUCUCUUCUCUAUCAGAUAUCCUGGAUGGCCUACGCUGCAAGGAUGAGAUACAGUAAAGAAAGGAUGAAUCUUUGUCUCCUGGGAGAGGAAAACAAGCCAUCUUCUGUUGGUAAGAGGGCUCACACCUAUAAUUCCAGCACUUGGAAGGCCAAGGUGAACGAAUCACCUGAGGUCAGCAGUUUGAGACCAGCCUGGCCAACAUGGCUUAGAAUCAAGUUGGAGAUCCCAAACUUCAAUAUGUACUUCUUCCUAAAACGUAUCCGCUUGAGAAAGUAUCCAUGGUGGAGGCAGCAAGCCAGUCUUACUUUUCUACCUCUCCUUUCACCAUUGAUCUCCUUGCACUUUACUAAAGAGAGGCAAACUCUCACCCACCCUGGCUCUCACUAUGGCACAUUGCCUCAGGAAUGUAAGCACUUCUUGGAAAAUAAACAAAGAGGCAAUUUGAAAUACUGUGCUAGUGUCAAAAAAGUGGAUGACUCUAAUUAA